rnacentral:rRNA from 1 species
GACGAACGCUGGCGGCGUGCUUAACACAUGCAAGUCGAACGGAAAGGCCCUGCUUUUGUGGGGUGCUCGAGUGGCGAACGGGUGAGUAAAACGUGAGUAACAUGCCCUUGACUUUGGGAUAACUUCAGGAAACUGGGGCUAAUACCGGAUAGGAGAUACUGCUGCAUGGUGGGGGUUGGAAAGUUUCGGCGGUUGGGGAUGGACUCGCGGCUUAUCAGCUUGUUGGUGAGGUAGUGGCUUACCAAGGCUUUGACGGGUAGCCGGCCUGAGAGGGUGACCGGCGACAUGGGGACUAAGAUACGGCCCAGACUCCUACCGGAGGCAGCAGUGGGGAAUAUUACACAAUGAGCGGAAGCCUGAUACAACAACGCCGCGUGCGGAAUAACGGCCUUCGAGUUGUGAACCGCUUUCGCCUGUGACGAAGCGUGAGUGACGGUAAUGGGUAAAAAAGCACCGGCUAACUACGUG